AACGCACAUUGCGCCCAUUAGUAUUCCAGUGGGCAUGCCUGUUCGAGCGUCAUUUCAACCCUUAAGCCUCUGUUGCUUAGUGUUGGGAGCCUACAGUCCUCUGUAGCUCCCUAAAGUUAGUGGCGGAGUCGGUUCACACUCUAGACGUAGUAAUUUUUUAUCUCGCCUAUGGAUGGACCGGCGCCUUGCCGUAAAACCCCCUACUUUUUUAAAGGUUGACCUCGGAUCAGGUAGGAAUACCCGCUGAACUUAA
rnacentral:misc_RNA from 1 species